CUUUCUUUUCCGAGAAGGAAGUCUUGGGAGAUCUUCCGGUUGUCCCACCCCCUCAACCAUGUAUACACUGAAGUUCGGCUCUGCUUCUCAGAAUGCAUACCCUAAGAACUGCUUGAGGUUUUGAGCAACUUCCAGGACUCACAUGUGUCCUCGUGGUCACAUGGCGGCUGAAUGACAGAUCCCCUGAACAAGACACACAAGCUGUCAGAAGAAUUUGUAGGAUGGGACUUCAUCCAUGAAUAUCAAUUCUCUACCAUCGUGUUGAAAAUGCUGACCCUCUUUAUUGCUGCCUGUUGGAAUGUUGACUGAUGUUGGCUUGGUUUCGUGAUAUCAUGUGAGCAGACAUACCCGG